rnacentral:tRNA from 1 species
GUGAGUGUAGCUCCGUGGUAGGAUACUUGUCUUGCACGCAUGAGGCCCUGGGUUCAAUGCCCAGCACCACA